rnacentral:rRNA from 1 species
UACGGAAGGCAGCAGUGGGGAAUAUUGCACAAUGGGCGCAAGCCUGAUGCAGCCAUGCCGCGUGUAUGAAGAAGGCCUUCGGGUUGUAAAGUACUUUCAGUCGUGAGGAAGGUGUUAAGGUUAAUAACCUUAGCAAUUGACGUUAGCGACAGAAGAAGCACCGGCUAACUCCGUGCCAGCAGCCGCGGUAAUACGGAGGGUGCGAGCGUUAAUCGGAAUUACUGGGCGUAAAGGGCACGCAGGCGGUUAAUUAAGUUGGAUGUGAAAUCCCCGGGCUUAACCUGGGAAUGGCAUUCAAGACUGGUUAGCUAGAGUCUUGUAGAGGGGGUAGAAUUCCAUGUGUAGCGGUGAAAUGCGUAGAGAUGUGGAGGAAUACCGGUGGCGAAGGCGGCCCCUGGGACAAAGACUGACGCUCAUGUGCGAAAGCGUGGGGAGCGAAACAGGAUUAGAUA